rnacentral:rRNA from 1 species
GUAAGGGAUAUUGCACAAUGGGCGAAAGCCUGAUGCAGCAACGCCGCGUGGAGGAAGAAGGCCUUCGGGUCGUAAACUCCUUUUGACGCUGACGAGGAAGGACGGUAGGCGUCGAAUCAGUCACGGCUAACUACGUGCCAGCAGCCGCGGUAAAACGUAGGUGGCGAGCGUUAUCCGGAUUUACUGGGCGUAAAGGGUGUGCAGGCGGGGGUCCAAGUGGUGUAUGAAAUCGCCCGGCUUAACCGGGCUAGGUUAUGCCAGACUGGACUUCUAGAGUGCGAGAGAGGGACGUGGAAUUCCGGGUGUAGUGGUGAAAUGCGUAGAGAUCCGGAGGAACCCCAGAGGCGAAGGCGGCGUCCUGGCUCGCAACUGACGCUCAGACACGACAGCAUGGGGAGCGAACGGGAUUAGAAACCCGGGUAGUCC